CAGUCGCACACUCAUUAGCAUAUCUAUUAGCUAAAGGGCCAUCCAUUUAAUACGUACGCACGGCGUACGCUUGCGUAUGGAGGGUCUACUGACAAUGUAUGUACGCAUAGGAAACUGGGGGGGGGGGGGGGUGAAGCCUCGAAAUUUGUCUACUUAGCCUUAAAAUGAGCCACAGUUCGGUUUCUUCAGCUGUGAGACAUGUACUGCCGGUAGAGGUAGGACUGUGGGAGAGGUGUUACUUGUGUGCCACCGUACCCGACUGCAGCUAUCACGCAGCUCAGCAAACAUCAGUGGCCAAGAUACUACCGUUGUGCACUGGUUAGCACACGGGGCUGUUGGCUCGCUCUCCCAGCAUGGCAGCUGAAAGGACGGUGCGCGUUUCUUAAAUCCACACCGCCUCUGUCCACGGAGAUGUCCAUCCAGACUAGCAGACGUCAGUGCUGAGCUGGGACCAAUUCCUCUGGGCACAAAACGGCUGCAUGGCAACAGCUGAUGCUGACUAAAAUGAUGAUUGUGAAGGUGGUGACUAUGAUGAAGCUGCAGCUUAUGAUGAAGAAUGCUGCUGCUGCUGAUGGUUAGCUUCAGCUGCUGAUACUGAUGGCAUCACACAGUGGAACCCAGGCGAUGAACUGGCCUGGGCAACGCCAAGUCUCCGAGUCUGCACACACACAAAGACGAAGAUCCCCCGUAUAGACAUAACCGACGGUUGGUACAAGUGUUAGCGAGCACCUAUGAAUGCCGGCACGGCACACGAGUAGGUGAGUGACCAGCACCAUGCCCUGCCACCUUUGUCUCCCGAGGAGGUAUGUUUACACAUCACACCCGCUACUCAAUUGAGGCUGAGUCAAAUUAGGGGAGACCUAGAACUGCUUCAGAUAACCCUUGGCACUUCGUCUUUGCUGGAAUUAAACUCGGAUACUAAUAAAAAAAAACCCAGGUCACGGGAUUUGUUGCACAAGUCAUGCACCACUCUGCAUCUGCUCCAAACACACACACACUGCGUGCUUGCCAACCCUACCGAGUGAACCGGUAGUCUGCUGAUUUUUUAAAAACCCUUUUACCGCAUAAACAGUUUUUACAGCAUACCGAUUAAGUCAAGCAAAACGUUGCGUCAAGACCUUUAUUUUCUCUCUCAAACUCGUUGAGACGCAAUCCCGAUUAGCUCCAAAAAUCGGUAUUCGGUAAAAAUGUAUUAAAAAAACUACCAGUAUAUGACAUAUACAGAGACAAAGAUUCCCCGAUAGACAUACGGACGACUGGGGCAAGUGCUUGAAGUGAACACCUAUGCAGCACGUAUCGACACACCCACAUAAGCAUGCACGACAGAUCUAUACCAAACCAUGACAUAUCGUGUUUGUUAAACUGGAUGAGGUUAUGAACCUCAUCGCACACGAGGCCCCAGCUGCACCCCCCCCCAUCCCUCCAAGGACCUCACAGCCAAUGUAUGCGUUGUUCACGUGGGAACAGAACCCGGGAGAGGAGAGGUGCCGGCUCAGCUUCCUGACCAGUGGCCACUCAAUCAGCCACCUAUUACCCAGAGUGCAAUUAAGAAAGGCACAGUGAAAUCCCUGCUUCCGUAGGGCACAAAGACAAAGACCCCCCCCCCCUCCCGUAUAGCCUUAACAGACUGUUGGGACAAGUGCUGUUAGCGAAUAGCACCUUUGAAGGCCGUCACGCCACAUGAGCGGGGGGGGGGGGGGGUGCCAGCAUGAAGCACGGCUGGCCGCCUUUGUCUCUCCAUUACAAGUCGCUUGUAAGUCAUCAGCUUAGUGCACAUGUUUUCAUCUCGAAUGUAUCAUCGUAUUUGUUAAAGGGGCACCACGGUGGCCUGGUGUG